GCGUGGAGGAUGAAGGUUUUCGGAUCGUAAACUCCUGUCUAGAGGGAAGAAGCAAGUGACGGUACCUCUGGAGGAAGCCCCGGCUAACUCCGUGCCAGCAGCCGCGGUAAUACGGGGGGGGCGAGCGUUGUUCGGAAUUACUGGGCGUAAAGGGCGCGUAGGCGGUUUCGGAAGUCAUGGGUGAAAGUCCUCGGCUCAACCGAGGGAUUGCCUGUGAAACCACGGGACUGGAGUGCUGGAGAGGGAAGCGGAAUUCCCAGUGUAGCGGUGAAAUGCGU
rnacentral:rRNA from 1 species